AUUCAACACAAUGAUGACUGCAUAGUUCAGCGGAUGCUCUGUGAAGAUUGAUUAUUUCGCUCCUAUCUGACAUGUUGACC